rnacentral:rRNA from 1 species
UACGUAGGGUCCGAGCGUUGUCCGGAAUUAUUGGGCGUAAAGGGCUCGUAGGCGGUUUGUCACGUCGGGAGUGAAAACUCAGGGCUCAACCCUGAGCGUGCUUCCGAUACGGGCAGACUAGAGGUAUGCAGGGGAGAACGGAAUUCCCGGUGUAGCGGUGGAAUGCGUUGAUAUCGAUAGGAACUCCGGUGGCGAAGGCGGCAUACUGGACCACCACUGACGCUGAUGCGCGAAAGCCAGGGGAGCAAACGGG